UACGGAGGAUCCAAGCGUUAUCCGGAAUCAUUGGGUUUAAAGGGUGCGUAGGCGGCCCUGUAAGUCAGCGGUGAAAUACCCACGCUCAACGUGGGAACUGCCGUUGAUACUGCGGGGCUUGAGUUCGUGCGAGGUCGCUGGAAUGCGUGGUGUAGCGGUGAAAUGCAUAGAUAUCACGCAGAACACCGAUUGCGAAGGCAGGUGACUGGCACGCGACUGACGCUGAGGCACGAAAGUGUGGGGAGCAAACAGG
rnacentral:rRNA from 1 species